UACGUAGGGACCAAGCGUUGUUCGGAUUUACUGGGCGUAAAGGGCGCGUAGGCGGCAAUUCAAGUCAUCUGUGAAAUCUCCGGGCUUAACUCGGAACGGUCAGAUGAUACUGCUUUGCUAGAGUGCGGAAGGGGCAAUCGGAAUUCUUGGUGUAGCGGUGAAAUGCGUAGAUAUCAAGAGGAACACCUGUGGUGAAGACGGGUUGCUGGGCCGACACUGACGCUCAGGCGCGAAAGCCAGGGGAGCGAACGGG
rnacentral:rRNA from 1 species